rnacentral:tmRNA from 1 species
GGGGAUGCACCGGUUUCGACGGAUUUGUCGAUUCUUGUAUUGCAGGUGAGGUUACGCCUGUCCUCUGAACAGACGGAAAAAAUAACUGAAGAAGAUAAUUCUCAGUUCGUUGCAAUGGCUGCUUAAGCCUGCAACCGGAAAUCUUAUGGCGCCGCUCUGAGCCGUAGGAAUUUCUGUCACCUGACCAGGGCUUGCCGCGUAUUGUGUCCGGUCGAUACUCGGGACAUAUAAUCGGAAUACGGAGACGACGCUUGUGGUGCUGCUACCGUUUCCCGACAACCACCUCGCACCGAUAAACCUGUAGACGUGCAUGGACCGCAUAUUCGGACGGGGGUUCAACUCCCCCCAUCUCCAU